GGAUAUCUGUGAUGUUCGAAUCACUCCAAUCUGUGUUGACCGAACAUUUUUAGUAUUACUUCGGGAUUCAACGAGUUCAAAAAGAAAACAAGCCUUUUCACUUGGUAGUUUGACAGUUGGACAGCGAACCCCACCUGCUUACUGCGGGAUCAAUACUCCGGCGUGAUCAACGGCAUCUACGGAUACUGC
rnacentral:other from 1 species